rnacentral:rRNA from 1 species
GCAUAUCAAUAGCGGAGGAAAGAAACUAACAAGGAUUCCCCUAGUAGCGGCGAGCGAAGCGGGAAAAGCUCAAAUUUGUAAUCUGGCGUCUUCGACGUCCGAGUUGUAAUCUCGAGAAGUGUUUUCCGUGAUAGACCGCAUACAAGUCUCUUGGAACAGAGCGUCAUAGUGGUGAGAACCCAGUACACGAUGCGGAUGCCUAUUACUUUGUGAUACACUUUCGAAGAGUCGAGUUGUUUGGGAAUGCAGCUCAAAUUGGGUGGUAAAUUCCAUCUAAAGCUAAAUAUUGGCGAGAGACCGAUAGCGAACAAGUACCGUGAGGGAAAGAUGAAAAGCACUUUGGAAAGAGAGUUAACAGUACGUGAAAUUGUUGGAAGGGAAACACAUGCAGUGAUACUUGCUAUUCGGGGCAACUCGAUUGGCAGGCCCGCAUCAGUUUUUCGGGGCGGAAAAGCGUAGAGAGAAGGUAGCAAUUUCGGUUGUGUUAUAGCUCUUUACUGGAUUCGCCCUGGGGGACUGAGGAACGCAGCGUGCUUUUAGCAAUUCCUUCGGGAAUUCCACGCUUAGGAUGCGGGUUUAUGGCUGUAUAUGACCCGUCUUGAAACACGGACCAAGGAGUCUAACAUGCUUGCGAGUAUUUGGGUGUCAAACCCGGAUGCGCAAUGAAAGUGAAUGGAGGUGGGAAGCGCAAGCUGCACCAUCGACCGAUCUGGAUUUUUUAAGAUGGAUUUGAGUAAGAGCAAGUAUGUUGGGACCCGAAAGAUGGUGAACUAUGCCUGAAUAGGGCGAAGCCAGAGGAAACUCUGGUGGAGGCUCGUAGCGGUUCUGACGUGCAAAUCGAUCGUCAAAUUUGGGUAUAGGGGCGAAAGACUAAUCGAACCAUCUAGUAGCUGGUUCCUGCCGA